rnacentral:snoRNA from 1 species
CGUCUCUCAGCCACAGGGCUGCUGGAAUGUUUUCCUUCCACAGCCAGGGCAAGGGACCAACAGCAUCACUGGAGGACUCUCGUCGGGGCUGCCUGUAGCUAAGGUGGCCGCGUUUUCCUGCCUCAGACACUA